CCUUCGGACCAAAAUUGUUGUAUGGCUUGUGUGGGGCGACGGGCACAACGUGAAUCCGUAAUAGGCCAUGGCGGGUGUCUUUUUAAGCAUCCAAGCCAUACAACAAUUUGGGGUUGGGAGGUGAUGGAUAUAAAUCGAUGUAUGUUUAUUGUCGGAUGAUAUGGUUGCGCGAUUUACACCAAACAUACAUCGAUUUAUAUCCAUCAUGGCGCUUAUCGAUGUAUGGCUUGUGUGGGGCGAGAAACACAACGUGGAACCGUAAAACGAUCUGCAAGGGUUUCCCAAACCACACAAGCCAUACAUCGGUUGUAAGUCGCAACAACCACAAUUGUUGUAUUGCUUGGAUGUGUGCGAGAGGCACAACGUGAAUCCGUAAUAGGCCAUGGCGGGUGUCUUUUUAAGCGUCCAAGCCAUACAACAAUUGGGGGGGAUUAUUCUAGCGGGUUUCGUUCUCUUCGUAUCGUGC
rnacentral:misc_RNA from 1 species